UACGGGGGGGGCAAGCGUUGUCCGGAUUUAUUGGGCGUAAAGAGCUCGUAGGCGGCUUGUUGCGUCAGCUGUGAAAACCCGGGGCUCAACUCCGGGCCUGCAGCCGAUACGGGCAGACUAGAGUUCGGCAGGGGAGACUGGAAUUCCUGGUGUAGCGGUGAAAUGCGCAGAUAUCAGGAGGAACACCGGUGGCGAAGGCGGGACUCUGGGCCGAUACUGACGCUGAGGAGCGAAAGCGUGGGGAGCGAACAGG
rnacentral:rRNA from 1 species